rnacentral:rRNA from 1 species
AGAGCUUGCUCUCAGGAAGUUAGCGGCGGACGGGUGAGUAACACGUGGGUAACCUGCCCAUAAGACUGGGAUAACUCCGGGAAACCGGGGCUAAUACCGGAUAACAUUUUGAACUGCAUGGUUCGAAAUUGAAAGGCGGCUUCGGCUGUCACUUAUGGAUGGACCCGCGUCGCAUUAGCUAGUUGGUGAGGUAACGGCUCACCAAGGCAACGAUGCGUAGCCGACCUGAGAGGGUGAUCGGCCACACUGGGACUGAGACACGCCCCAGACUCCUACGGGAGGCAGCAGUAGGGAAUCUUCCGCAAUGGACGAAAGUCUGACGGAGCAACGCCGCGUGAGUGAUGAAGGCUUUCGGGUCGUAAAACUCUGUUGUUAGGGAAGAACAAGUGCUAGUUGAAUAAGCUGCCACCUUGACGGUACCUAACCAGAAAGCC